rnacentral:rRNA from 1 species
GGAGCUGGCGGCAUGCUUUCACAUGCAAGUCGAACGGUAACAGGGAGCUUGCUCCGCUGACGAGUGGCGAACGGGUGAGUAAUAUAUCGGAACGUACCCAGAAGUGGGGGAUAACGUAGCGAAAGUUACGCUAAUACCGCAUACGAUCCACGGAUGAAAGUAGGGGACCUUCGGGCCUUAUGCUUUUGGAGCGGCCGAUAUCUGAUUAGCUAGUUGGUAGGGUAAAGGCCUACCAAGGCGACGAUCAGUAGCUGGUCUGAGAGGACGACCAGCCACACUGGAACUGAGACACGGUCCAGACUCCUACGGGAGGCAGCAGUGGGGAAUUUUGGACAAUGGGCGCAAGCCUGAUCCAGCAAUGCCGCGUGAGUGAAGAAGGCCUUCGGGUUGUAAAGCUCUUUUGUCAGGGAAGAAACGGUAGAGGCUAAUAUCCUUUACUAAUGACGGUACCUGAAGAAUAAGCACCGGCUAACUACGUGCCAGCAGCCGCGGUAAUACGUAGGGUGCAAGCGUUAAUCGGAAUUACUGGGCGUAAAGCGUGCGCAGGCGGUUUUGUAAGUCUGACGUGAAAUCCCCGGGCUCAACCUGGGAAUUGCGUUGGAGACUGCAAGGCUAGAAUCUGGCAGAGGGGGGUAGAAUUCCACGUGUAGCAGUGAAAUGCGUAGAGAUGUGGAGGAACACCGAUGGCGAAGGCAGCCCCCUGGGUCAAGAUUGACGCUCAUGCACGAAAGCGUGGGGAGCAAACAGGAUUAGAUACCCUGGUAGUCCACGCCCUAAACGAUGUCUACUAGUUGUCGGGUUUUAAUUAACUUGGUAACGCAGCUAACGCGUGAAGUAGACCGCCUGGGGAGUACGGUCGCAAGAUUAAAACUCAAAUGAAUUGACGGAAGGGCGAA